rnacentral:tRNA from 1 species
AUUUAUAUAGUUUAAAUAAAACCUUACAUUUUCAUUGUAAAAAUAUAAUAAUUUUAUUAUAAAUA